rnacentral:rRNA from 1 species
CGGGACACGUGGUAUCCUGUCUGAAUAUGGGGGGACCAUCCUCCAAGGCUAAAUACUCCUGACUGACCGAUAGUGAACCAGUACCGUGAGGGAAAGGCGAAAAGAACCCCGGCGAGGGGAGUGAAAAAGAACCUGAAACCGUGUACGUACAAGCAGUGGGAGCACGCUUAGGCGUGUGACUGCGUACCUUUUGUAUAAUGGGUCAGCGACUUAUAUUCUGUAGCAAGGUUAACCGAAUAGGGGAGCCGAAGGGAAACCGAGUCUUAACUGGGCGUUAAGUUGCAGGGUAUAGACCCGAAACCCGGUGAUCUAGCCAUGGGCAGGUUGAAGGUUGGGUAACACUAACUGGAGGACCGAACCGACUAAUGUUGAAAAAUUAGCGGAUGACUUGUGGCUGGGGGUGAAAGGCCAAUCAAACCGGGAGAUAGCUGGUUCUCCCCGAAAGCUAUUUAGGUAGCGCCUCGUGAAUUCAUCUCCGGGGGUAGAGCACUGUUUCGGCAAGGGGGUCAUCCCGACUUACCAACCCGAUGCAAACUGCGAAUACCGGAGAAUGUUAUCACGGGAGACACACGGCGGGUGCUAACGUCCGUCGUGAAGAGGGAAACAACCCAGACCGCCAGCUAAGGUCCCAAAGUCAUGGUUAAGUGGGAAACGAUGUGGGAAGGCCCAGACAGCCAGGAUGUUGGCUUAGAAGCAGCCAUCAUUUAAAGAAAGCGUAAUAGCUCACUGGUCGAGUCGGCCUGCGCGGAAGAUGUAACGGGGCUAAACCAUGCACCGAAGCUGCGGCAGCGACGCUGAUGCGUUGUUGGGUAGGGGAGCGUUCUGUAAGCCUGCGAAGGUGUGCUGUGAGGCAUGCUGGAGG